rnacentral:tRNA from 1 species
GGAGGGAUGCCGGAGCGGCCGAACGGGACGGUCUUGAAAACCGUUGUGCGCAAGCACCCAGGGUUCGAAUCCCUGUCCCUCCG